GUCUAUGGCCACACCACCCUGAACAAGCCCGAUACCAUGUGAUCUCGGAAGCUAAGCAGGGUCGAGCCUGGUUAGUACUUGGAUGGGAGACCACCUAGGAAGACCAGGUGCUGUAGGCA
rnacentral:rRNA from 1 species